GCAAGCCUGAACCGCCUGCCGCGUGCAGGAUGACGGUCCUAUGGAUUGUAAACUGCUUUUAUACGGGAAGAAACACUGCUACGUGUAGCAGCUUGACGGUACCGUAAGAAUAAGGAUCGGCUAACUCCGUGCCAGCAGCCGCGGUAAUACGGAGGAUCCAAGCGUUAUCCGGAAUCAUUGGGUUUAAAGGGUCCGUAGGCGGCUUUAUAAGUCAGUGGUGAAAGCCCAUCGCUUAACGAUGGAACGGCCAUUGAUACUGUAGAGCUUGAAUUACUUGGAAGUAACUAGAAUAUGUAGUGUAGCGGUGAAAUGCUUAGAUAUUACAUGGAAUACCAAUUGCGAAGGCAGGUUACUACAAGUGGAUUGACGCUGAUGGACGAAAGCGUGGGGAGCGAACAGGAUUAGAUACCCUGGUAGUCCACGCCGUAAACGAUGGAUACUAGCUGUUUGGAGUAAUCUGAGUGGCUAAGCGAAAGUGAUAAGUAUCCCACCUGGGGAGUACGCACGCAAGUGUGAAACU
rnacentral:rRNA from 1 species